rnacentral:rRNA from 1 species
UACGUAGGUGGCAAGCGUUACUCGGAAUCACUAGGCGUAAAGCGCAGGUAGGCGGUUCGGUAAGUCUUUUGUGAAAGCUCCUGGCUCAACUGGGAGAGGUCAAGGGAAACUACCGGGCUGGAAUGUGGCAGAGGAAGCUGGAAUUCCCGGUGUAGCGGUGAAAUGCGUAGAUAUCGGGCGGAACACCUAUGGCGAAAGCAGGCUUCUGGGCCAUCAUUGACGCUGAUCUGCGAAAGCUAGGGGAGCAAACAGG